rnacentral:rRNA from 1 species
GAAAGUUAGUGAAGGGUGCAGAGACGCACCCGUCCUUCGGGACACGAAACUAGGUGCUGCAUGGCAGUAGUCAGCUCGUGCCGUGAGGUGUUGGGUUAAGUCCCGCAACGAGCGCAACCCCUAUGUUUAGUUGCCAGCAUUUAAGGUGGGGACUCUAAACAGACUGCCUGCGCAAGCAGAGAGGAAGGCGGGGACGACGUCAAGUCAUCAUGGCCCUUACGUCCGGGGCUACACACGUGCUACAAUGGAUGGUACAGCGGGCAGCUACAUAGCAAUAUGGUGCUAAUCUCUAAAAGCCAUUCACAGUUCGGAUUGGGGUCUGCAACUCGACCCCAUGAAGUUGGAUUCGCUAGUAAUCGCGUAUCAGCAAUGACGCGGUGAAUACGUUCCCGGGCCUUGUACACACCGCCCGUCAAGCCAUGAAAGUUGGGGGUACCUAAAGCAUGUGACCGCAAGGAGC